GAUGAACGCUGGCGGAGUGCCUAACACAUGCAAGUCGAACGCACCUUCGGGUGAGUGGCGGACGGGUGAGUAACACGUGGGAGCGUACCUUUUGGUUUGGAAUAACGCAGGGAAACUUGUGCUAAUACCGAAUGUGCCCUUCGAGGGAAAGAUUUAUCGCCAUUAGAGCGGCCCGCGUAGGAUUAGCUAGUUGGUGGGGU
rnacentral:rRNA from 1 species